UAACCAAAAUGAUUUAGUUCGCAAGUUUACAAACAUUUUUAUCCUAAAGGAAUAAAAAUAUCUUUCCUAGUAAAAUUUCAAAGCACAUUAUUUCUUUGUACACUCUAAUCCCUCCACCCCGAUAUAACGCAGUUUCACCUAUAACGUGGUAAGAUUUUUUGGCUCCCGAGGACUGCGUUAUAUCAGGGUAGAGGUGUAGAUCGUGUUAAUAGCCGUCUCGAAU